AAUCAACGCUGGCGGCGUGCCUAACACAUGCAAGUCGAACGAGAAGGUGACUUCGGUCACUGGAUAGUGGCGUCCGGGUGAGUAACACGUAGGUAGUCUACCUUCGGGUGGGGAAUAACGUCUCGAAAGAGACGCUAAUACCGCAUAAUGCAGCGGCACCUAAUGGUGAUUAGUUGUUAAAGCGGGGGAGUCUUCGGACCUCGCGCCUGAAGAGGAGCCUGCGGCAGAUUAGCUAGUUGGUGAGGUAAUGGCUCACCAAGGCUUCGAUCUGUAGCUGGUCUGAGAGGACGGCCAGCCACACUGGCACUGACACACGGGCCAGACUCCUACGGGAGGCAGCAGUGGGGAAUUUUGGGCAAUGGGCGAAAGCCUGACCCAGCAACGCCGCGUGAAGGGAGGAAAUCCUUCGGGAUGUAAACUUCAUAAGUAAGGGAAGAAAGCUGCGGAUCGAAUAAGUCCGCAGUCCGACGGUACCUUACGU
rnacentral:rRNA from 1 species